rnacentral:lncRNA from 1 species
CAGGAAGACACAGAAGGAAUAUCUUUUACUAUUGAAGAAAGAAAAAGGCGUGUUUUGACUCUACCGACUGGAUUGGACAAAUCAACAGAUUUUGUCGCUCUUUAAUUCUGUCCAAUCCUAGGUGUGGCAACUUGUCCUCAUUUGCGAGUGUGCAACAGCCUUCUGUUAUGAUUUUUUGUAAAGAACAUCUUCACUCAAUUGAAGGCACCAUAUGCUUAAUGUUGAAGAAACUCAAUUAGAAUGAGAGGAAAUACAAAAUACUGUUACAUUUGCAACAAACCAAGAAAAAAUAACGAAUCAAAACCAAUCAAAUCUUCAGAAGUUUUGCUAUGGCUACACCAUUUCCUUGUACUUCCUCUGACCUGUAUAUAUGGUGGAACAUUUUUGCACUGAGAGUGUUUUCGAGUGCAGCUCCUAACUAUUCUACUAAUAUACAUAUUAUAACAUAUUUGGUAUGGAGGAUUGGAUAGUACUCGACACUGUUAAGAAAGAAAACGUACUUUUCAGUCCUGUCCAAUACUUCAUACCAAACAUGCAUAGAGCUUUCGGUCAAAACGUCCAAACGGAAGAGGAAUCCCCGAAAACAAACUACCUGGAACGCCUGCAGCCUAGGUCUUUAGUGUACGAAGCCUGCAGUGUCCAUCUUUAAAUGCCAAUUGCCUUGCUCUUGUCUGACGAACAGAUACCCAGAUUUUAUCAAGUCCUAUUAUGGAUGGGGUCUGAUCCUCGUCCAACACUCCUUUUGCUUGAUUGGUUUGUAUCGAAUUUCUUGCUUACAGGUGCUGGUUUCUUAUCUAUGUCGAGUGUACUCUGAUUCUUUACCAUUAAUCGACGAUCUUCUCUGCUUCGUCUGAGAGCGAGGUCUGCACUUCUCAAGCCGCAAACUUCUUGCGGGCGAAAUACUAAUAAUCCUACACAAAUGAACAAGGCCAAUGCCCUAUGGAUAUAUAGAACCAUAGCUCUUUGGUAAAAACAAGAGAAAUGAGAAGUUUGUUUUGAUUAAGAAUGCUGAGAGAAAAUUGAGGUUUGAUUUCUAUGUUUCCAUUCCUGUAGAUUUAUGCUUGUGACAUUGUCUUACAGAAUUUAUAGGGCAAUUUAAAGGAUAAAGCAGGAGGGUCCCAGAAUCCAUACAGGAGUU